UACGAAGGGGGCUAGCGUUGUUCGGAGUUACUGGGCGUAAAGGGCGUGUAGGCGGACGUGUAAGUCUAUUCUGAAAGCUCCUGGCUAAACUGGGAGAGGCGAAUGGAGACUGCAUAUCUAGAGUGAGGAAGAGGAAAGUGGAAUUCCGCGUGUAGUGGUGAAAUGCGUAGAUAUCCGGAGGAACACCAGUGGCGAAAGCGGCCACCUGGACUGCACCUGACGCUGACACGCGAAAGCUAGGGGAGCGAACGGG
rnacentral:rRNA from 1 species